CACUUCCAUGCGUUCUAGCCCGAGCGCCGCGGCCCGGCGCAGCUGCGGGGUAGUGUGAGGGGACCCCCUGAGUCGGAUAAGGAAGAACCGUUUUUUUUUUCCGCCUCUACACAGGAAAGCUCCUUACGACAGUGAGUCGGCUUUGCUCAUUCUCAUUGUGCGCAUCAUGCGCGUCAUCAGGGCAAUGAAGGCGCGUUGGCGUGCACUCUAGCAGAAGAAAAUGCAGCCCCGUCGCGCGUCGUCUUCCCGCCUGGCAAGCUUCCACCCCUGUGAGCACCGCAUUAUCGUCUCUGGUACGGCCGAUCACCGGACCACCCGACAGGCAGCCCGGUCUUCCGAGUUUUUUGAGGGUUCUUGCGGCUGGCUCUGCUCCUCGGCGCGGAGAGGGCUGCCAGGAUCUUCGUCCCGCUAGUGCCUCUGCUGCCUAGUCCGCCCUUCACCCCCUGAAGCCGUGCAAGACGGCGUCUGAAUUCGCCUGCUGCCGGAUUCGGUGCACCCAACAUGCUUGACGGUGGCGGUCUCUGUCGGGGUGGUGACUGGUGAAGCGAUGAGCCUAAAACACUCGUUCCGUUGAGCUGGCGUGUCGUCUGCAGGAAGAAGAGGAGAGAGUGCGCGGAGCGAGAGGGGCGUGCGUGUGCGUUGCAGUUGCCAUGCUGUGCGAGCAGAGGACCGGAUAGACGCCAGAGGUCAUGCAGGCAAGGAGGGGGUGGGCUGCUGGAUCAUGAGAGCGCACACAUCGCGGCCGUGCCCCUGGGCCCUCAGGAGACGGCACGACGCGUUUUCUGGACGGCGGCCACUUGCCCGCCUGCGCAAGGCCCAGCAGCGUGUGAGCGACCCCCAUUAUCGCUCUUCCUCACCCCACGGAGAUUGGGAAACCCAAGAGGGGGAAACAUAGAUGACGGGAUGCUUCCCACCUACGACGCUCUUUUACCGUGAGGUGCGCCAUUCUUCAAUCCCUCCACGCUUAGCGGAGGAGAGAACAAC
rnacentral:misc_RNA from 1 species